GCCAGACUCCUACGGGAGGCAGCAGUGAGGAAUAUUGGUCAAUGGUCGGGAGACUGAACCAGCCAAGCCGCGUGAGGGAUGAAGGUACAGAGUAUCGUAAACCUCUUUUGUCAGGGAACAAAGGCGGGGACGUGUCCCCGGAUGAGUGUACCUGAAGAAAAAGCAUCGGCUAACUCCGUGCCAGCAGCCGCGGUAAUACGGGGGGUGCAAGCGUUGUCCGGAAUCAUUGGGCGUAAAGCGUUCGUAGGCGGUAUGUCAAGUCUGAUGUUAAAGCCCGGGGCUCAACUCCGGUUCGGCAUUGGAUACUGGCAAACUAGAAUGUGGUAGAGGUAAAGGGAAUUCCUGGUGUAGCGGUGAAAUGCGUAGAUAUCAGGAGGAACAUCGGUGGCGAAAGCGCUUUACUGGACCAUUAUUGACGCUGAGGAACGAAAGCCAGGGGAGCAAAUGGGAUUAGAUACCCGAGUA
rnacentral:rRNA from 1 species